rnacentral:rRNA from 1 species
AUCAGUACACGCCUUAACAAGGUGAAACCGCGAACGGCUCAUUAUAACAGCUAUAAUUUACUUGACCUUGACCAGUUACUUGGAUAACUGUGGUAAUUCUAGAGCUAAUACAUGCACCGAAGUUGUUCCUCACGGAGCAAUGCAUUUAUUUGAGCAAAACCAGGCGGCUUCGGCCGUUUCUGUUGAAUCAGAAUAACUAAGCUGAUCGCAUGGGCUUGUCCCGGCGACGUGUCUUUCAAGUGUCUGCCUUAUCAACUUUCGAUGGUAGUGUACGUGACUACCAUGGUGUUGACGGGUAACGGAGGAUAAGGGUUCGACUCCGGAGAAGGGGCCUGAGAAAUGGCCACUACGUCUAAGGAUGGCAGCAGGCGCGCAAAUUACCCACUCUCGGUUCGAGGAGGUAGUGACGAAAAAUAACAAGGCCGUUCUCUUUGAGGCCGGCCAUUGGAAUGGGUACAACUUAAACCCUUUAACGAGUAUCAAUGAGAGGGCAAGUCUGGUGCCAGCAGCCGCGGUAAUUCCAGCUCUCAAAAUGCAUAGAACCAUUGCUGCGGUUAAAAAGCUCGUAGUUGGAUCUGUGCCGGCGACGUGGUCCGCCCUAACGGGAGGUACUGCGCUCGUCGGCUUUGGGCCGGUUUUCGGUCGGUCGCCUUAACUGGCGGCCGCUCGUGGCUGGCUGGUUUACUUUGAGCAAAUCAGAGUGCUCAGCACAGGCGUCUCGCCGGAAUGUUCGUGCAUGGAAUAAUAGAAAAGGAUUUCGGUCCUCUUUUAUUGGUUUUGUGGACUGAGAUAAUGGUUAACAGAGACGGACGGGGGCAUUCGUAUUGCUGCGUGAGAGGUGAAAUUCUUGGACCGCAGCAGGACGGACUACAGCGAAG